rnacentral:rRNA from 1 species
AUUGAACGCUGGCGGCAGGCCUAACACAUGCAAGUCGAGCGGAUGAAGUUAGCUUGCUCCUGGAUUCAGCGGCGGACGAGUGAGUAAUUCCUAGGAAUCUGCCUGGUAGUGGGGGAUAACGUCCGGAAACGGGCGCUAAUACCGCAUACGUCCUGAGGGAUAAAGUGGGGGAUCUUCGUACCUCACCCUAUCAGCUUAGCCUAGGUCUGAUUCGCUAGUUGGUGGGGUAAAGGCCUACCAAGGCGACGAUCCGUAACUGGUCUGAUAGGAUGAUCAGUCACACGGGAACUGAGACACGGUCAAGACUCCUACGGGAGGAAGCAGAGGGGAAUAUUGGAAAAUGGGCGAAAGCCUGAUCCAGCCAGGCGGCGGGUGUGAAGAAGGUUUUCGGAUUGUAAAGCAUGUUAAGUUGGGAGGAAGGGCAGUAAGUUAAAACCUUGCUGAUGUGACGUUACCAACAGAAUAAGCAACGGCUAACUUCGUG